rnacentral:rRNA from 1 species
GGCCCAGAAUUCUUAGGGAGGCAGCAUUGGGAAAAUUUGCACAAUGGGGGCCAGCCUGAUGCAGGGAACCCGCUUGAGGGAUGACGGCUUUCGGGUUGUAAACUUUUUCAGCAGGAAGAAGCGCAAGUGACGGUACCUGCAGAAGAAGGGCCCGGCUAAAUUACGUGCCAGCAGCCGCGGUAAUACGUAGGGCGCAAGCGUUGUCCGGAAUUAUUGGGCGUAAAGAGCUCGUAGGCGGUUUGUCGCGUCUGCUGUGAAAUCCUCAGGCUCAACCUGGGGCUUGCAGUGGGUACGGGCAGACUAGAGUGCGGUAGGGGUGACUGGAAUUCCUGGUGUAGCGGUGGAAUGCGCAGAUAUCAGGAGGAACACCGAUGGCGAAGGCAGGUCACUGGGCCGCAACUGACGCUGAGGAGCGAAAGCAUGGGGAGCGAACAGGAUUAGAUACCCUGGUAGUCCAUGCCGUAAACGUUGGGCACUAGGUGUGGGGCUCAUUCCACGAGUUCCGUGCCGCAGCAAACGCAUUAAGUGCCCCGCCUGGGGAGUACGGCCGCAAGGCUAAAACUCAAAGAAAUUGACGGGGGCCCGCACAAGCGGCGGAGCAUGCGGAUUAAUUCGAUGCAACGCGAAGAACCUUACCAAGGCUUGACAUGCACCGGUAACACUCAGAGAUGGGUGCCCCGCAAGGUCGGUGUACAGGUGGUGCAUGGUUGUCGUCAGCUCGUGUCGUGAGAUGUUGGGUUAAGUCCCGCAACGAGCGCAACCCUCGUCCCAUGUUGCCAGCGGGUUAUGCCGGGGACUCAUGGGAGACUGCCGGGGUCAACUCGGAGGAAGGUGGGGAUGACGUCAAAUCAUCAUGCCCCUUAUGUCUUGGGCUUCACGCAUGCUACAAUGGCCGGUACAAAGGGCUGCGAUACCGCGAGGUGGAGCGAAUCCCAAAAAGCCGGUCUCAGUUCGGAUUGGGGUCUGCAACUCGACCCCAUGAAGUCGGAGUCGCUAGUAAUCGCAGAUCAGCAACGCUGCGGUGAAUACGUUCCCGGGCCUUGUACACACCGCCCGUCAAGUCAUGAAAGUCGGUAACACCCGAAGCCGGUGGCCCAACCCUUGUGGGGGAGCCUCGAAGUGA